rnacentral:rRNA from 1 species
ACACAUGCAAGUCGAGGGGUAUUGGUUUUCGGACCGAGAGACCGGCGCACGGGUGCGUAACGCGUAUGCAAUCUACCUUUUGCAGAGGGAUAGCCCAGAGAAAUUUGGAUUAAUACCUCAUAGUAUAGUACAAUCGCAUGAUUGAACUAUUAAAGUCACAACGGCAAAAGAUGAGCAUGCGUCCCAUUAGCUAGUUGGUAAGGUAACGGCUUACCAAGGCAACGAUGGGUAGGGGUCCUGAGAGGGAGAUCCCCCACACUGGUACUGAGACACGGACCAGACUCCUACGGGAGGCAGCAGUGAGGAAUAUUGGACAAUGGGCGCAAGCCUGAUCCAGCCAUGCCGCGUGCAGGAUGACGGUCCUAUGGAUUGUAAACUGCUUUUGCACAGGAAGAAACAUCCCGACGUGUCGGGACUUGACGGUACUGUGAGAAUAAGGAUCGGCUAACUCCGUGCCAGCAGCCGCGGUAAUACGGAGGAUCCAAGCGUUAUCCGGAAUCAUUGGGUUUAAAGGGUCCGUAGGCGGUUUAGUAAGUCAGUGGUGAAAGCCCAUCGCUCAACGGUGGAACGGCCAUUGAUACUGCUAGACUUGAAUUAUUAGGAAGUAACUAGAAUAUGUAGUGUAGCGGUGAAAUGCUUAGAGAUUACAUGGAAUACCAAUUGCGAAGGCAGGUUACUACUAAUGG